UACGUAGGGGGCAAGCGUUGUCCGGAAUCAUUGGGCGUAAAGCGCGUGUAGGCGGCCCGGUAAGUCCGCUGUGAAAGUCGGGGGCUCAACCCUCGAAUGCCGGUGGAUACUGUCGGGCUAGAGUGCGGGAGAGGCGAGUGGAAUUCCUGGUGUAGCGGUGAAAUGCGCAGGUAUCAGGAGGAACACCAAUUGCGAAGGCAGCUCGCUGGAACGUAACUGACGCUGAGCCGCGAAAGCGUGGGGAGCAAACAGG
rnacentral:rRNA from 1 species